UACAGAGGGUGCGAGCGUUGUCCGGAAUCACUGGGCGUAAAGGGCGCGUAGGUGGCGGCCCAAGUCCGUGGUGAAAGCUCGCCGCUUAACGGCGAGUCGGCCACGGAGACUGGGUGGCUCGAGCACUGUAGGGGCAGAUGGAAUUCCCGGUGUAGUGGUGAAAUGCGUAGAGAUCGGGAGGAAUACCUGUGGCGAAGGCGGCCUACUGGGCCGGACCUGACGCUGAGACGCGAAGGCGUGGGGAGCGAACGGG
rnacentral:rRNA from 1 species